rnacentral:sRNA from 1 species
UUGAGGAAUACGUUUAAAGAUUAAAGAUUGAAUGUUGAGGAAAAUUAAUUUAUUGAGAAAAUUUUCAAGUUAUUGAUUGAUAGAGUUAAUCUCAGUAAGAGACAACCCUCCAAAAAUAGGCGUAUGCCGCUUGGUACGACAAGCACACGGUAUUCUUUAGUAAAAGGCGAAAGAAUAGUUCGCUAUGUGCUUAUUGCACGGCUCCGU